GGUAUGGCUGCUGCAGCUGGUGUUGUGAAUCAGGCCGAUGCCACACGCCUGCUCUAACCCGGCUAUUUCACAACACCAGGGUCGCAUCAUACC
ensembl:miRNA dre-mir-138 microRNA 138-2